ensembl:lncRNA
GUUAGUUUCUUUUUUUCAGGGGGUUAAUUUAAACCUUUGCUUGGGCAAGGAUCUGGUCCUAGGGUCCUGGGAUUAACAACAAACAUUUCUUUUCUUUUUCUACGGUUUUUAAAAUUGUAUUUCUUUGCUUUUAUAAGAGUCUCCCUAGCAGUAGUGGUUUUUGAUACGGGCGACACGGGCGGUUGCCCGAGGCGGCAUCGUGGUGGGGGGCGGCAUCACGGGCAUCGGCAAAAAAAAAUAAAAAAAUUGCUCGUACUCAUGCUGCCCCGACAUCAGCCAGUGCAUAUUGGGAAUGGCAUAGGCACCGAUCGGUUUUCUAUUGCCCAUUUCCUGGGAGUAAGGGCGCCCUCCGUUUGCUCCUGUGCUUUCGGCACAGGGAGGAGAGGGCAGGGCUGCGGGGGAUUCUGUGGCUGGCUGGAGCAGCAUCUAAUAACUAACUCUCAAAAUAAAACAAAAUAAAAACAAAACAACAAACAAGAAAACACCAGACAUUAUGAUACACACUUACAAUUUGGACCGAUUUUUUUUUCGAAAUUCUAUAUGCGAAAAGUGAGCGCGAGAGCCCUCGUUGCGCCUGCUUGCUGCUGAAGUCAAAGUAAACUUUAUUGUCAUCUCCGCUACAUACAGUCCAGUAUAUAGAGAGACGACGAGGCUCCAGUUACAGCAGUGCAAGUAACCAAACAAUAAAUAUAAGAAGAGUAAGAAAAUAAAUAUACACUUUAGGACUCGGGGUAAAGGGAUCAAUAACAAUUUAAAAUUUAUAUUUUGAUGAUUUAAUGUCUCAUAGACAACCCGUGGAACGGGUUCUUAAUGUUGUAAAUCCAAGCCCAUUAUGUAUUCAUGAUUUGAAUCAUGGGUUGUGUGAAAUCCCAGAAAUACACCUAAGACAAAGUGAAUCUGUGAACUAAGGUGUAGGUCUGUUAGGUUAUGUUGUGGUGAUCCUCGAGUUGGGGGAUUUGUGUUCAUACUGGAGUCCAAAAUUAAAACCAAUGGAAGAUGGACAAGAAAAGUUCAAAGCCAUCAGGUGCUCAGUUUAGAAAAAAUAGAAAAGAAGAGGAGGAGAAACGAGCAAAAGAGGGAGUGUUCCUCUGGCGCCAAACAGGCUAGGACCGCCACUGCUCCCUAGUCACGAGUAAUUUGAGGAUUUAAAAAACAAAGAAACAACGACAGCAAAAAACAAAAACCUCC